CCUACGGGAGGCAGCAGUCGAGAAUCAUUCACAAUGGGGGAAACCCUGAUGGUGCGACGCCGCGUGGGGGAAUGAAGGUCUUCGGAUUGUAAACCCCUGUCAUGUGGGAGCAAAUUAAAAAGAUAGUACCACACGAGGCAGAGACGGCUAACUCUGUGCCAGCAGCCGCGGUAAUACAGAGGUCUCAAGCGUUGUUCGGAAUCACUGGGCGUAAAGCGUGCGUAGGCUGUUUCGUAAGUCGUGUGUGAAAGGCGCGGGCUCAACCCGCGGACGGCACAUGAUACUGCGAGACUAGAGUAAUGGAGGGGGAACCGGAAUUCUCGGUGUAGCAGUGAAAUGCGUAGAUAUCGAGAGGAACACUCGUGGCGAAGGCGGGUUCCUGGACAUUAACUGACGCUGAGGCACGAAGGCCAGGGGAGCGAAAGGGAUUAGAUACCCCGGUAGUCC
rnacentral:rRNA from 1 species